GUGCAUGCUUCAGGAGCACAUAUAGUGACAUUGGGAGGUCACAGAAAAGUUCAGCGUGGCCCCUUUGCAAGGAUGACACACACAAUCAUGAAGCAGUCUAUAGGGUU
rfam:Mus musculus chromosome 11, GRC primary reference assembly.